rnacentral:lncRNA from 1 species
CUGAGAUUUGGGGGUGUGUGACUGCACUGACUUAGUUUAAGCUGACGGUGAAAGCGGAGCCAUCCCAGCGUUGCAUCUGGAAGCCCUGUCCAGGCUGGCUGCCCGGCCUCCACCAGGACCAGCAGAGCUCUGACCGGCCAGGGGACGUGGGCGCUGGUGCACACGACUUACCUUCAGCCACUUUACCUGGAACAAGAUUUCAGAAGUGUGAACAGGAUGGGUGUUUCUAGACUUUUGGCUAUCACAGAUGAGUGAAAUAAAAAAAAAAAACCACAGA